rnacentral:lncRNA from 1 species
GCUAUUGCCCUCUCACAUCCCUUUUGCUCUCAUUGGCACCACACCUCUCUCCUGCCCUGUCUCUCUUACGGCUCUCAUGCUCCCGGUGACCAUGCUCCUAUCUCCUGACCUUGCUACCAUCUCUGCCACUGUUGUGCUCCCCACGUAUGGCGUUGGCCCGUCCCUCAUCGAUUAGGCCAUAGGUGAGGGUGUUGCACUCUUGACUCUUAGGUUGAAGUAUUAAAAGCAUCUUCCUACAGGGGGUAGCGAUAUCUGAGCGCCUAUCAUCUUCCUCACAUGCUGAUCUCCUCAUCUCUUCUCUCCAUACAUCCCUCUCUCCUCUCAUAACUGUGGCCC